rnacentral:rRNA from 1 species
CCUACGGGGGGCAGCAGUGAGGAAUAUUGGUCAAUGGCCGAGAGGCUGAACCAGCCAAGUCGCGUGAGGGAAGAAUGUCCUAUGGAUUGUAAACCUCUUUUGUCAGGGAGCAAAGUCACCCACGUGUGGGUGUUGGAGAGUACCUGAAGAAAAAGCAUCGGCUAACUCCGUGCCAGCAGCCGCGGUAAUACGGAGGAUGCGAGCGUUAUCCGGAUUGAUUGGGUUAAAGGGGUGCGUAGGCGGGUUAUCAAGUCAGCGGUAAAAUCGUGGAGCCCACCUCCAUCCAGCCGUUGAAACUGAUGAUCUGGAGUGGGCGAGAGGUAUGCGGAAUGCGUGGUGUAGCGGUGAAAUGCAGAGAUAUCACGCAGAACUCCGAUUGCGAAGGCAGCAAACCGGCGCCCGACUGACGCUGAAGCACGAAAGCGUGGGUAUCGAACAGGAUUAGAUACCCCGGUAGUC